CGGGGGAUUCCUUUGUUUGCUCGCUUGUUUUGACGAGGAAGUCUUUUUGUUUUUCCUUCUCUGUGAAGCCCCAAACUGCAUAAAUUUAGCCCCAGCCUGAAGUAUCAUGGGGGACAGGGUCUUGAAAAUCUUUUACUCCGGUGUGAUGGCUGACUCUUCUCCCAUCAGCGAGUCAUCUGAUCUUACUCAUUUCUGGAGGGAUCCAGCUGGCCAGGGAACAAGCACGGCCUUCUGAGUGUGUCAGCCCUCUUUAAACAGUGACAAUUUCACGGUGACACAGUCAGUAAUUCCUAGAAUAAGAACUUUCCUUUUCUAAUUGGGACACAACUCUUAAGUAAUCCACGUCCUGUAGGGGUGUGGCCACUGCCCAAGAAGCUCUUGGGCAGGUGACGCAAAGGCUGAGAAGUCAUAAAUGACCCGCCUGUCCGUCCAGGAAUGACAAGUGGCCUUUAAAGGAAUCCAGUCACACAGCUGAGGACAAGGCUGACAUUUGUUGCGCAACAAGAAUGGAGGUUUAAAAAAAAAAUGACUACAAUAAAACGGCUCUAUAGAUCUCACUUCACAGAGAGGGGACACUGAGAGCCAAGCAGGCUCAGUCACGUGCUCAAAGCCGAACAUGUUCGAAGACUACCGAACGGAGCCGAACAAGUUCGAAGAUUACUGAACAGAGAAUUUCUAUAGUCGUUUGAUCUGUGGUGUGUGAGAAUUGAGCCCCAGGCCUCGUGCUCAAGAAUCAAGCCAUCUACCACCGAGCUACAUCCUUGGACCGGUGUCCACGCUUUCAUGUAAAUCUAGAGCUGAUCUAAAAUAUAACAUUUGUUUUUUAAAAAAUAAAAAUCAAAUUAAACCACA